rnacentral:rRNA from 1 species
CCUACGGGAGGCAGCAGUGGGGAAUAUUGGACAAUGGGGGGAACCCUGAUCCAGCCAUGCCGCGUGUGUGAAGAAGGCCUUAUGGUUGUAAAGCACUUUAAGCGAGGAGGAGGCUACUUUAGUUAAUACCUAGAGAUAGUGGACGUUACUCGCAGAAUAAGCACCGGCUAACUCUGUGCCAGCAGCCGCGGUAAU